rnacentral:lncRNA from 1 species
AAAUGACUCCCGCACCUCUCUGAUUCAGAGGGGUUGGGUUAAAUGACUCCCGCACCUCUCUGAUUCAGAGGGGUUGGGUUAAAUGACUCCCGCACCUCUCUGAUUCAGAGGAGUUGGGUUAAAUGACUCCCGCACCUCUCUGAUUCAGAGGGGUUGGGUUAAAUGACUCCCGCACCUCUCUGAUUCAGAGGGGUUGGGUUAAAUGACUCCCGCACCGCUCUGAUUCAGAGGCGUUGGGUUAAAAGCGGAAGACACAUUUCGGUUGAGUGAAUUGUUGGGCAAAUGACUAGUUACCCCCUUUCCUUCCUGUUAGUAGAGGGGGGAAAACCUGAGUAUUACAAUCAAACCUGCUCUUGUCAUAAAUAAAAGUGCACAUUGUUUUGGUUGAAGAAACAAGAGGCCUAAUCCUGGAGUCAUAUUUCUGCAGUUUCUAACGUUCUGUCCAACACCGCUGAGCUACGAGUGCAUGUGGUUAAAACUGUCAGACGCAUGCAAACGCUCUGGGCCCAUAUUAACAAAGCGUGAGUAGGAGUGCUAGUCUAGGAUCCGGUCCCCCCUCUAAUUCAUAAUGGUUUAAAAGGUCUGGUCCCCCCUCCUAAUUCAUAAUGGUUUUAAAGGUCUGGUCCCCCCUCCUAAUUCAUAAUGGUUUAAAAGGCUAAACUGAUCUCAGAUCAGUACUCUGACACUGUGGAUAAGGGCCCUGUGCUCCUUUCAGCUCCUGCGUGUCCAGUUUGUCAUUAGGCCAAUAUUUAAUACCGAUAUACUACCAUGGUGUAGCUAUGACGACUUCACUAUGCAAAGCAAUGAGUUUAUUACUUUUGUUUUUGUUACUGCUGGUCACUCUUCCUCAACUGCUCCCUCCAAAAAAUGUCUUGCUCUCUCCAUCACAGAAGAAUAAGCUUCUCAACAUAUCAAUGUAUGGCUGCUAAACUCAACUGCUCACAUAAUUGAUUUGUGAAACUGGAAACAACCUGUAGAACUUACUCUGGCUGUCAUAACGUGAAGACAUCCUGUACUAGUCUGUGCUCUGUUUGAAAUAGAACCGCUUUAAAACGACUGCAGUGUAAAUGCCUAUAAUACAUUAGGUCUACCUGAACACAUUUUAAACGUUCUGCAAAAGUCUAAUGAAAUAAAUGAAUGGAAAUCUGUUUGUUGCUUUUCACUUUAUUUUUUCAUGAUAAAGUUAGAAUAAAAACAUCUUAUCAGCCUGAUAAGUCUCUUCCACAAAGUGAGACUCGAUCAUAAAUAAUAAACUUGUUUUGUAAUAAGUUAAGGUACUGUAUAUUCAUACAUUUAUGGAUAUUUAAGUCAUUUAUCUCUUAUCAAAGAGCUAAUCUCGGGGUAACCCAGAACUGAAGUCUGCUCGAUUAAAUUCUAGGUCCAUGAGAUGCUAGAACGAGGAGCUCCAUCCUCUCUGCAAGUUAUGGGCUGAAUGACUGCCCUUCCAAAAUUUGAAAAAAAUGCUAACACCUCGGAAGUUGUGAUUUGUCCAAAUAACCAGUGAUGGAAAAAACUAGGCACCAGAACUAUAGCUGCUCGUUAUCUAUCAGUGCUCAGAAUAGAAAGAUCUAUUGCACCAUUUUAUGUUUACAUAUUCUGCCUAUGAGAGAUUAUCAAAGAACAGGUUAUAAUGUGCUACAAAAAUACUGCAUAUAAUAGCUUUUCAAUAUAGCUUUUUCAGUAUAGAGACAGUCAUUAGAUGACAAAUCUAUACUCGCAAGGCCACAAUCAGACCAAAUACACAUAAUAUACAAAGUGUAUAAAACAUUAGGAAUAGCUGCUCUUUCCAUGACAGACUGACUAGGUGAAUGCUGUGAUCCCUUAUUGAUGUCACCUGUUAAAUCCAAAACCCACUUCACGUGGAGGAGACUGGUUAAAGAAGGAUUUUUAAGCCUUGAGACAAUUGAGGGAAGAAGAUAUUUACGCCGGUGUGGCCAUGAGGUGAGUGUGUAAGAUGGUGGACGGGGGGAAAAAUGUGAAAAGUGGAACAUGUUUUCAGUGAAUAUGGAGUGGUGGAUCACAGAACUUUUGGAAGAGCUAUAGAAGAAACUUGAACGUGACAUGAGAGUGAGGAUGAAUUAACCUCAAUGGCAGGUGCCGUGAAGACCGAGUUUGAGCCUUGUCCUGAUGAUUCUGACCCAGUGGGAGUGUGAAUUUUGGAGACUGGAUCCUUGCCUUCUGGCUGAUCCAUAUGUUGUGUCAGGUUGAGUAAUGUUGGGUCGGUAAAAGUGACUAAUUGGCCCGCUUGCAUUUCUGCAAGAGGGCGUGUGCGCUCCGCACCACACCAAUGGGAACAACAACACUGGCUUGGCCUGAAGUUGAAGAUUCCCGGUGUCUGUGACGCCCAACGUUUGGUGCGAUGCGGACCCAGUGGAGAGCGUGGUGAAACAGAAUACCCUGUCUGUACUAUGAGUUUUGAUGCAGAGUCUUUAACAGAUAAAGUCAAGUUAGGAUGUGUCGAGGAGGGAGGGGUGCAACUCAAUAUUUUGAAGGCGUUCCUAAUGUUUUGUACACUGUAUAUUAUAUUAUUACAACCAGGCAUCAGCUAAUUACAGCUUUUCAAAUAAAAUCUCACUUGUUAGGUUUCUAUCCAACUGGCGACAGAUUUUCAUGUGAAAAUUUUACAAUCCGUAUAAAAAAUAAGUGAGUGAUGACGUAGUGCACACAAAACGUACUGAAUAAAAAUCACAAACUAUUGUGUUAGAUAGGAAAUGUGCCUACUCUGGUCUUGGCACCUGUGACCUAGUCCACAUCUCCUAUAUACAUUGUGGGUAGGCUGUGCAGGUUGGCUAUCUACAUGAGAUUAUUAUGGAUCAGAGACAGAGUUUUUGGAUUUGUCAAACGGCAGUCACGCAUCGAUCCCCAUGUCACCAGAUUAAGAUCCUCGAUAUUUAUUGGAAAGCAGCAUCAAGCUUAUCAUCGUGCACUUCAUAACUUAUUUCAUCUGUAGCCUAAUGAACUGUGUGGUUUCCUGAGUUGUAGUGUCACACACUAUAUCAUCGCGUGACUCCAAAUGUACUUUGAUAUGGUUAUUAUAUCAAUAUUUGAUAAAGACAUUUCCACUACUAUUUACCACAUAAUACAUUUUACUGACACAAAAUCCCACCAUGCAGAACCAACAAAUUAUCUGUCAGCAUUUACAAAAUUACACCGAAACCUGUUUCCAUCACAGCUGUCGUGAUAAUUGUAUUUCAUACGAUAUGACUUCACUCAAAUAAAACUGGACGGAAAUGUGGUUACUAUGGUAAUAUUGCUACGUUUCACUUUAACCAUGCUAACAAUUUAAAAUGUCAGCUUAAAAUGGUGACAAAUGUUUCCCUACAAUCAGUGUCGUUAGGCAUAAAAUCAGCAUUUUUUUUAUGUAUUAAUUGCAUGGUGAUUCACAUUUUCGAUCAUUUAAAAACUACUACAUGAUAAAGUACAGUCAACAACAGGCACUUGGCCCUACAAACAUUGAUUAAUUCAAGACCACUUCACAUAAUGGCACUUUACCCUCAAGCCAUGUCCUGUCCACACACACACACACACACACACACAUCACCUGGAAACAAGUUACAUAUGGUGUACCCUGGUCCCAGAUCUGUUUGUGCGGUCUUGCCAACUCCUACGAUCGAUGUUUAGCUUGACAGUGACCAUAGGAGUUGGCAAGACAGCAUAAACAGAUCUGGGAUCAGGCUACAUAUGGAAUGAACAGAGAUAGAAUGUGACAUUGGUUGAACAAGUGAUCCUCAUCCAACUACAAUAUGUUGUACUAAGUGGCAUGGUCUUAUAUAGGCACAGAGAUACUGCUAUGGUUUGGACCAAAGAGUUGAGUUCCAUUUAAAUUGUGGUAAACUAAUCCAUCUGUUCCCAGAGUGGAUUCUAGGCUUUCCCAACAACCGUUUCAUUUUGGGGGAAGAGUUUUUUGGACAGAAAUGCCUGAAUGUGAGGCCAGAUCUUGUUGGUUUCCGUUCCUGAGAAUGUCUCCAACAUCCCUUUGCUCCUGUUGGUAGAAACAGAUAUUAGUACCUCAUGACAGUCAUCAUAAUAAACAUAAGCAGUAGUUUUUAAAUGGGUAGGUACUCCCUGAUUGUCUCCAGUAACAACACAUAUUUCCGCAUUCCAUUGCAAAAUGUUUUGCUACAGUCUGGUCUACUGAAUACAACCUAGUACUCAACUACAUAAUGCUUUCAAGGUUACCAACAUAGAUUCACUUUCUAACAAAGGGAAAGAUGUGAAUGAAUUCACUGUCUGAUCUGUCUGAGCCUGAAUCCUGCGUUACAGUCCCAAGCUAUUUCAGUUCUCAGACCGGCCCCUGUAGUAGGGUUAAUUCAGAGUUCUCUUCCCGUUGUCCAGUUACCAGUGAAAAAGAGCCCCAGAAGCCAUCUUAUAAAUAACUUGGAUGCUUUUAACAUCCUAUGUACACAGGAGCUCUUGACUAAUGUUUUCCUUCUUUAAUUGGCCACAGAAAUAGAUGUGAUAUGAAUCAAUCCUGACAUUCAGUCAUGCACAAUGUCUAAUUGAGAUUAAUGUCCAUUUGUUAUGUCCCAACUUUGAAAGGGCAGAUAUAAGCCUUAAAGCCUAUGAUGUAAGAAGAUAAACUGCAACAUUAUUACACAGUUACAGCUUACAUAAUAAUGAAUAUAAAAGGUAUAUAUGUGUGUGUGUGUGUGUGUGUGUGUGUGUGUGUGUGUGUGUGUGUGUAAUACAUGUAUAUAUAUAUAUAUAUAUAGCUCAGGUUUGGGACCUUACCUGUAGUACUCCAACACGGGUUGUGUCUGGAUCUCGUAGGACUUCAGCCUCCUGGUGAUGGUCUCUGGUGUGUCAUCGUCUCUCUGAAUCAGAGGCUCUCCAGUGACGUCAUCCAGGCCCUGUAGCCAGGAUUGGCAACCAAAACAGACCAAACAGUGAGUGUGUUAAGAUAUGCCAUUUAACAGAUACUUUUAUCCAAAGCAAUUUACAAUGGUGCGUGCAUACAUUUCCAAAUAGGUGGCCCAAGCAGGAAUCAAACCCACGGUCCUGGCGUUGCUAGUAUCUUACACAAACUGAGCUACACUGAGGUAUAUAGCCUAAUGGUUAGAGCAUUGGGCCAGUAACCGAAAGGUUGCUAGAUCGAAUCCCCGAGUUGCCCCUGAACAAGGCAGUUAACCCACUGUUCCUAGGGCGUCAUUGUAAAUUAGAAUUUGUUCUUAACUUGCCUAGUUAAACAAAGGUUAAAUAACAAAUAAAUAUUGGACGUAGUAGUCCAACAUACUGACAUAGUGGUAUGGUAUGUAAAGUGUAAACACCAAAGCCUAAGCCAGUGCUGCCUGUUCUAAGAAAUGCAUGGAGGGGGAACUGAACAUUCAUGCAGAAACCUGUAUGGUUAGCAGAAAGCAAGCGUGAACAGACCCUUGAGAAAGAGAGAGUAGACCAUAUACACCUCCCGCCCAGAUCAAGCAGCCUCUGAAGUGCAAAGAUUAGUAAGAGGCUGUCAUCUACUGAAGUUUCAUCCUGUUUGCACAAUUCACGUGAAACGCUGCUUUUUGACUACAUUUGCACCUCUAUUGUAUGAAGCAUUAGUGCUCUCAGACUCAACACGUUGGAAUACAAACACUACUGUAGGUAAAUGUUUAACCUGAAAGUCUUAUUAUUCAAAUUGCAUUCAACCUCCUACCAGCAUGUUUGUAAUUGCAAAAAAACAACACUAACACAGGCUCACAAUGCACAGGCUCACAAUGCACAGGCUCUAAAGAGCAGAAUACAGAAAGCUGCAGGGAGAGGUGAAGGAGAUUUCAUUCAGUGUUCUUUUCAUGGUCAAGAACAGUCGCUCUUGUCAUUAGCUAGCUUUAGCUAAAUAUCAAGCUGCUCUUUUAAACGCUCCUAAUUCACCAUGCAACCACCUAUUUUAAAUCGUAAUUUUUUGAGCAUGUGCUUCAGCCUGUUUAGAGUGCCAGGUGGGCAGGGUUUGCAAUUUUAGGACCUAUUCUAUUGGUUUCAUUGCGCCAGGCAAGUUCAAUCAAACACAGCUAAAGUAUUUGAAAUUAUUCCAAAUAGUAUUUGAACCCAGGUGUGCUAACAAUGUCUUGUUUGCUCCAGUUUAAUUGCAAGGAUGAGAGCAAAGGUCCCCACUUGGAUUACCACAGCAAACAAAUGCCACCCUGGGUGCGUUCGGAAAUGGCACCCUAUUCCCUGUAAAGGCCAUAGUGCUCUGGUCAAAAGUAGUGCACUAUAUAGGGAAUAGGGUGUCAUUUGGGAUGUACAGUUGUUUUAUCUGUCUAAUCCCUUCUUCCGCCAUCUGUCUCUUUCUCCUCUAAAUCUCUCUCAGGCCGCAGGUACACGCAGUCUGUGCCCUACUUUAACGUUCCAGGAUAGUUUAUUUUAUUUUAAUACCCAUAUUUUGAUAGCAUGACUGACUUGUAAGGGAGCCAGGCGCUGUCAGGUUGUUGCAUGGUGAAAGAGCAGCUUCAUAUUCAGCUAAAGCUAGCUAACGACAAGAGCAGCUAAAGCUAGCUAACGACAAGAGCAGCUAAAGCUAGCUAACGACAAGAGCAGCUAAAGCUAGCUAACGACAAGAGCAGCUAAAGCUAGCUAACGACAAGAGCAACUGUGUGGCGGGAGAGAUGGAACAAUAAAGCGGUCUUAUCAAAUUGUUUUAAAAAAUACAGUGUAUAAGUGUGUUUUUACUAUCCUGUUACAUGGUUAUUACAUGUGUAAUAAAUUGAAUUAUGUUGUAAUAAGACCUGUGUGUUAAAACUUGGCCACAUACAUUUGGAGCAGAAGCUUCAAUAUAGCUCAGUAGUAUCUAGCCGUCAAAUACAUCUGUGACUCAGACUAUACUUACAGAGAUCUUCGGUGGGUUGAAGUCGAUGUUGUAGACGCGUCCGCUGGGCAGGUGGAGCCAGCGAGAGGUCAGUCUCUGUUUGAUGGUCUGGAAAGGAACGUCAAUGUUGAUGACUGUGUCCACACUGCACACGCUGUCUAGAGUCUCCGCCUGAGCCACGGUGCGGGGGAACCCUUCCAGACAGGAGAGACCAGUGUAACCAUAGAGAUAUAUAAUACAUUAGAGUGGUUGAUGUUAUAAACCUUCAUAGCUUGAGAAUGUCCAUUCUAGAGUUUUAUGUUCACAAUCUUCCCAAGGGGGAAGCCUGACAGCAAAGUAGAGGCCCAGAGACAUGGCUCUUUUCCAAUUAAUCUUUCUGCGAUUCCUAUCAUCUCUCCUUAAUCGUAUAGGUGGAGAAGGUCCAAGGUCCCUUCCCUCGUACCUUCUUCGCCAAUGCGUUUCAAGUUCCUUGGUGUCCACAUCACCAACAAACUAUCAUGGUCCAAAACACACCAAGACAGUCGUGAAGAUGGCACGACAACGCCUUUUCCCCCUCAGGAGACUGAAAAGAUUUGUCAUGGGUCCCCAGAACCUCAAAAAGUUCUACAGCUGCACCAUCUAGAGCACCCUGACAGGUUGCAUCACCGCCUGGUAUGGCAACUGCUCGGCAUCUGACCGUAAGGCACUACAGAGGGUAAUGCGUACGGCCCAGUACAUCACUGGGGCCAAAUUUCCUGCCAUCCAGGACCUAUAUACUAGGCGGUGUCAGAGGAAGGCCCAAAAAUUGUCAAAGACUCCAGUACACUUAGACUGUUCUCUCUGCUACCGCACGGCAAGCGGUACCGAAGGGCCAAGUCUAGGUCCAAAAGGCUCCUAAACAGCUUCUACCCCCAAGCCAUGAAACUGCUGAACAAUUAUUCAAAUGUUAUUCACUGUUUAUUAUCUAUGCAUAGUCACUUUACCCCUACUUACAGUGCCUUCAGAAAGUAUUCAGACCCCUUUACUUUUUCCACAUUUUGUUACGUUAUAGCCUUAUUCUGAAAUGGAUUACAUUCUUUUUUUAAAUCCUCAGCAAUACACACACACACACACACACACACACACACACACACACCCCAUAAUGACAAAGAACAUUUUACAAAUGUAUAAGAAAAUAAAAUACCUUAUUAACAUAAGUAUUCAGACCCUUUGCUAUGAGACUUGAAUUUUGACCUCGGGAGCAUCCUGUUUCCAUUGACCAUCAUUGAGAUGUUUCUACAACUUGAUUGGAGUCCACCUGUGGUAAAUUCAAAUUGAUUGGAUAUGAUUUGGAAAGGCACACACCUUUCUAUAUAAGGUCCCACAGUUGACAGUGCAUGUCAGAGCAAAAACCAAGCCAUGAGGUCGAAGGAAUUGUCUGUAGAGCUCCAAGACAGGAUUGUGUCGAGGCACAGAUCUGGGGAAGUGUCCCAAAAAAUGUCUGCAGCAUUGAAGGUCCCCAAGACCACAGUGGCUUCCAUUAUUCUUAAAUGGAAGAAGUUUGGAACCACCAAAACUCUUCCUAAAGCUGGCCGCCCAGCCAAACUGAGCAAUUGGGGGAGAAGGGCCUUAGUCAGGGAGUUGACCAAGAACCCAAUAGUCACUGACUAGAGUUCCUCUGUGGUGUUUUGUUAAUUUAUUUAUUAAAUGUAGUCACUCCCUGAACUUGCUUCCCGACUCUCAGCAUACAUCGUUACAGAAUGACGACUCAACAAAGGGAAGCAUCGGGGACUGUUUGUUUUGGUGUUGGAGGUGAUGUCGGGUCCGGGUGUCCGAACCAGAGCUACCUGGGAGGCGUCAGCUGGUUUGUCGGGUUCCCCUGCCUCAGCGGGCUCGACAGGCUGCCAUGCCUCGGUGUCCUGUGGCUGGAGUCGCACGGUCAGGGAGAGGGUACUGUCCCAUGUGCUCCCUCUCCGGCCUCUAGGUCACCAGGCUGCUCGUUAUGGCACACACCUGUCACCAGCGUUCCACGCAUAAUGACACUCACCUGGACUCCAUCACCCCCUUGAUUACCUGCCCAUAUAUAUAUAUCUCACUCCCUUUGGUUUCUUCCCCAGUCGUUAUUGUUGCUGUUUCAUGUCGGUGCGCUGUUCGUGUUUCUUGUUUUGUUCAUUUAUUUAUUAAAUGUAUUGACUCUCUGAACUUGCUUCCCGACUCUCAGCGUACAUUGUUACAAUGUGUCUCUUCAACAGCACCCUGGAGAGGCGCGCUGGGAAUGGACAAUAGAAAUAUUUUGUGUCCUUGCCUUUGACAAAGUGGGCACUGCUUAUCAUAGAGCGGCAUCAGCACUCACCUAAAAAGCCCAUAUGCCACUGGUUGAGAGAAAGGUGCGUCUUGGUCAGUUUAGCGACCACCUAAUCCUGCUUAAUGAGCAGGCCGUCCCUGGACACAGAGACAUAAAAAUAGUAUCCAAUAGUUCAUCUGACUCUGGGGUACUCGAUGAAGGGCCUCAUUACCAAAAUCCCAAAGUAUCCCUUUAACAUGAUGCAUGCAUGACUGUACUAUUUGCCAUUAUCUCCCACUUUGACAGCUAUUUUGAAAUGGAAAACCGCCUUGGGCCAGGCUGAACACAAAUUGAUCUGAUAGUCCAUCCGCCUAGCAUCACAUAUCAGUUGUGAUAUUAGUGGCUGAAGGUUAUUUAACCCUUUAAGAGCAAUUUUCAUAAAUAGUAGAUGUAAAUAGUCCGGGUGGCUUUUUAAUUAAUUGUUCAGCAGUCUUAUAGCUUGGGGGUAGAAGCUGUUAGGGAGCCUUUUGGACCAUGACUUGGCGCUCCGGUACCUCUUGCCAAUGCGGUAGCAGAGAGAACAGUCUAUGACUUGGGUGACUGGAGUCUGACAAUUUUUUCAGCCUUCCUCCUACGCCGGUCAACAGCCCUGCACCACCCACAGCAACUUGCCUCCCUAAUUUCUCCUUCACCCAAAUCCAGAUAGCUGAUGUUCUGAAAGAGCUGCAAAAUCUGGACCCCUACAAAUCAGCCGGGCUAGACAAUCUGGACCCUCUCUAAAAUUAUCCACCGCAAUUGUUGCAAACCCUAUUACUAGCCUGUUCAACCUCUCUUUCGUAUCGACUGAGAUCCCCAAAGAUUGGAAAGCUGCCGCGAUCAUCCCCCUCUUCAAAGGGGGAGACACUCUAGACCCAAACUGUUACAGACCUAUAUCCAUCUUACCCUGCCUUUAUAAGGUCUAGGAAAGCCAAGUUAACAAACACAUCACCCGACAAUUUCGAAUCCCACCAUACCUUCUCCGCUAUGCAAUCUGGUUUCCGAGUUGGUGCACCUCAGACACGCUCCUUGAAAGCGGCAGCUCUAGCCUUUAGCUCGGUGCAGAUGUUGGCUGUAAUCCAUGGCUUCUGGUUGGGAUUUGUACGUACGGUCACUGUGGGGACGACGUCGUCAAUACACUUAAUGAUGAAGCUGGUGACUGUGGUGGUCUUAGUGCCAGCAUCAGUUUCUGGUGGUAAAUAGACAGCUAUGAAUAAUAUAGAUGAGAUCUCUCUUGGUAGAGUUUAUCAUGAGGUAAUCUACCUCAGACGAGCAAUACCUAGAGACUUCUUUAACAUGAGACAUCGCGCACCAGCAGUUAUUGACAAAUAGACACACACCCCCGCUCCUCUUCUUACCAGACGUAGCUGCUUUGUCCUACCGAUGCACGGAAAACCCAGCCAGCUCUAUAUUAUCCGUGUCGUUGUUCAGCCACAACUCAGUGAAACUUAAGAUAUUACAGUUUUUUAUGUCCCGUAGAUAGGAUAAGCUCGACCGUAGAUCAUCAAGUUUGUUUUCCAGUGAUUUCACGUUGGCCAAUAGAAUCGUAAUGGCAAUUUACUCACUCGCCUACAAAUCCUAACAAGGCACCCCGGCCUUCUCCCUCGGUAUCUCCGCCCCUUUCUUCACGCUAAUGACGGGGAUUUGGGCCUGUUCUCCGGAAAGCAGUAUAUCCUUUGUGUCGGACUCAUUAAAGAAAAAAUCUUUGUCCAGUUCGUAGUGAGUAAUCGCUGUUCUCAUGUCCAGAAGCUCUUUUCGGUCAUAAGAGACGGUAGCAGCAAAUUUAUGUACAAAAUAAGUUGCAAACAAUGCAACAAAAAAAAAAAGUAAAAAUAGCACCGUUGGUUAGGAGCCCGUAAAACGACAGCCAUUAUCAAGAAUAGCUUAAUGAGUACAGGUGCUGCUUACUGUUCAGCAGCAAGCUGUUCAAAUAAUGUAAAUGUUUCUUAGAAACAAAUCCAAAGCAUAUUCCUACUCACUUGAAGGUGUCUGAAGUGUACUGAAUGCCUUUUUAAAACAUAUGCCUAUUGCCUUGUCUAUGUUGAUGUGUCUAAAUCUGAGUAAUGGGUGGCCUGGCUGGUCUAGCGGUAAUGCUGCAGCCUCCGACACACUUCAUCGUUUAAGUCCGACCUAUAUUCCCCUUUGAUACAACCUUUCUCUAUCUUUCCCCAUUGUCAUCCUCCCUCUCACUCUCUGUUGGCGUAAUGCGUGUGGUGCUUACUGCUUACCGUCCAGCAGCCAGCUGCUCUGCUCUAUGCUCCUCAUCUCUGUCAGGAUGAGACGGGAGAUGACGUCAUCAGGUACCAGCUGACCCUGAUCGAUGCAUGACUUCAUCAGAAGACCCAGCUCUGACAGGAGAGGAGACACACAGAGCAACAUUAAGCUAAGACCCAGCUCUGCCAGGAGAGGAGAC